rfam:Trachymyrmex cornetzi contig53584, whole genome shotgun sequence.
GCCUCGGUAGUCUAACUGGUAAGGACGCUCACACAGAAUGUAAGAGAUCCGGGUUCGACUCCCGGCCGAGGUA